rnacentral:rRNA from 1 species
GGUUAAGCGACUAAGCGUACACGGUGGAUGCCCUGGCAGUCAGAGGCGAUGAAGGACGUGCUAAUCUGCGAUAAGCGCCGGUAAGGUGAUAUGAACCGUUAUAACCGGCGAUUUCCGAAUGGGGAAACCCAGUGUGUUUCGACACACUAUCAUUACGUGAAUACAUAGCGUAAUGAAGCGAACCGGGGGAACUGAAACAUCUAAGUACCCCGAGGAAAAGAAAUCAACCGAGAUUCCCCCAGUAGCGGCGAGCGAACGGGGAGGAGCCCAGAGCCUGAAUCAGCAUGUGUGUUAGUGGAAGCGUCUGGAAAGGCGCGCGAUACAGGGUGACAGCCCCGUACACAAAAGCGCAUGUGCUGUGAGCUCGAUGAGUAGGGCGGGACACGUGGUAUCCUGUCUGAAUAUGGGGGGACCAUCCUCCAAGGCUAAAUACUCCUGACUGACCGAUAGUGAACCAGUACCGUGAGGGAAAGGCGAAAAGAACCCCGGCGAGGGGAGUGAAAAAGAACCUGAAACCGUGUACGUACAAGCAGUGGGAGCACAGGUUUACCUGUGUGACUGCGUACCUUUUGUAUAAUGGGUCAGCGACUUAUAUUCUGUAGCAAGGUUAACCGAAUAGGGGAGCCGUAGGGAAACCGAGUCUUAAC